rnacentral:tRNA from 1 species
GCUGGUGUGGCUCAGGGGUAGAGCAGCGCACUCGUAAUGCGCAGGUCGUCGGUUCGAAUCCGACCACCAGCU